rnacentral:rRNA from 1 species
AUAACGCACAUAUGCUGGAAUGCUUUAUGCGUAAAAUGGAUUCGUCUGCCCAAGGAUGGGUCUGCGGCCUAUCAGGUAGUAGUGGGUGUAAUGUACCUACUAGCCUACGACGGGUACGGGUUGUGAGAGCAAGAGCCCGGAGAUGGAUUCUGAGACAUGAAUCCAGGCCCUACGGGGCGCAGCAGGCGCGAAAACUUUACAAUGCGGGAAACCGUGAUAAGGGGACACCGAGUGCCAGCAUCCUAUGCUGGCUGUCCAGGUGUGCAAAAUACACCUGUUAGCAAGGGCCGGGCAAGACCGGUGCCAGCCGCCGCGGUAACACCGGCGGCCCGAGUGGUGAUCGUGAUUAUUGGGUCUAAAGGGUCCGUAGCCGGUUUGGUCAGUCCUCCGGGAAAUCUGACAGCUCAACUGUUAGGCUUUCGGAGGAUACUGCCAGACUUGGAACCGGGAGAGGUAAGAGGUACUACAGGGGUAGGAGUGAAAUCUUGUAAUCCCUGUGGGACCACCUGUGGCGAAGGCGUCUUACCAGAACGGGUUCGACGGUGAGGGACGAAAGCUGGGGGCACGAACCGGAUUAGAUACCCGGGUAGUCCUAGCCGUAAACGAUGCGAGCUAGGUGUCACGUGGAUUGCGAAUCCAUGUGGUGCCGAAGGGAAACCGUGAAGCUCGCCGCCUGGGAAGUACGGCCGCAAGGCUGAAACUUAAAGGAA